GCAACUUUGGCCGAGUUGGUUAAGGCGCCAGACUCAAGAGUUUUCUCUUUCACUGAUUUAUGUGUGAGCAUUCUGGUCACGAAAGUGGCGUGGGUUCGAAUCCCACAGGUUGCA
rnacentral:tRNA from 1 species